UGCGUAGGCGGUUUGGCAAGUUGGUAGCGUAAUUCCGGGGCUCAACUUCGGAACUACUACCAAAACUGCCAGGCUUGAGUGCGGCAGGGGUAUGUGGAAUUCCUAGUGUAGCGGUGGAAUGCGUAGAUAUUAGGAGGAACACCAGAGGCGAAAGCGACAUACUGGGCCGUAACUGACGCUGAGGCACGAAAGCGUGGGGAGCAAACA
rnacentral:rRNA from 1 species